rnacentral:tmRNA from 1 species
GGGGAUGACUGGUUUCGACGGGAGAGGCUGGUCCCAAACUGCGAGCCGAGAGGCGCCGACCUCGAUAAAUCAGCGCAAAAAAAUAAGUGCCAACCGCACUUCCUACGCUGCUCUUCCUCUCGCCGCAUAAGCGAGUGAUUAAGCAGCUGGCCCCUUAGAUGGGCCACGUCCACCGGCGCCGCUCUCCGGCCGGCCGCCGGACCGGGCGUCACAAAGCCGGAGUGCUGCACGCUACGCCGCUACACGUGCAAAAGAAGGGCUUUCGGGCCCUGGCGGCUGGCCCAGCGCCUGCUCUGUCGAUCGUGCGGCGUCUGGGCGAGAGCAAACGAUCGACUACGCUCGUAGACGUUUGGAGAUCGAAUCUUUCGGACUCGGGUUCGAUUCCCGACAUCUCCACCU